UACUACUUCAGUAGUGCAUAUACUAAAAUUGGAACGAUACAGAGAAGAUUAGCAUGGCCCCUGCGCCAUGAAGCGGUGCCUUUACCAUGUGGACGUUACAUUAUAA
rnacentral:snRNA from 1 species